rnacentral:lncRNA from 1 species
GAUUUCCACGUCGGCAGAGAAGGGCGACUGCAGGGACUUGAUCUAAUGUGCAAGUGCUGUCCAGAUGUGGACCGCGCAGCCACAACCAAAUUUUCUAUAGGUGAAAUGAGGUCAUAUAAAUAAUUUGAUGCUUGAAGUACAAGUAACGAGAAGUUCAUAUCAAGCAGCACAGGCACAGAAGACAGGAUCAUCGGGAGAUGCUGCUUACCAGAGUGAAGAGAAAGGCGCCGUGAUGUGGCCUUGAUUGGCACGGGGUUCGACCGGCACAGUCACUCCGCUUCGCUCCCC